UACGGAGGGGGCUAGCGUUGUUCGGAAUUACUGGGCGUAAAGCGCACGUAGGCGGACUGUUAAGUCGGGGGUGAAAUCCUGGGGCUCAACCUCAGAAUUGCCUCCGAUACUGGCAGUCUCGAGUGCGGGAGAGGUGAGUGGAAUUCCCAGUGAUAGAGGUGAAAUUCGUAAGAUAUUGGGAAGAACACCAGUGGCGAAGGCGGCU
rnacentral:rRNA from 1 species